UAUCUCUGUAGAGUCUGCAUAUCAAUAAGCGGAGGAAAAGAAACUAACAAGGAUUCCCUUAGUAACGGCGAGUGAAGCGGGAAGAGCUCAAAUUUGAAAGUCUUCAAGGUUCUACCUUGACGAAUUGUAGUUUAAAGAAGUGUUUUCUGUUAGAUGAGUAGCAAAAGUUCCUUGGAAUGGGACAUCAUAGAGGGUGAGAAUCCCGUAUUUGGUUAUUCAUUCUAGCUUUGUGAUACACUUUCAAAGAGUCGGAUUGUUUGGGAAUGCAGUCCAAAAUGGGUGGUAAAUUUCAUCUAAAGCUAAAUAUUGGCGAGAGACCGAUAGCGAACGAGUACCGUGAGGGAAAGAUGAAAAGAACUUUGAAAAGAGAGUUAAACAGUACGUGAAAUUGUCAAAAGGGAAGCGUUUGACACCAGUGUUGUUUUUCCGAAAAUCAAUUACGAAUGGCUUGAUUUUGUGUUGUAUUGACCUUAUCAGCUUUCUUCACUUUUUUCGAGUCUUUCUUAAUGCACUUUUCGGUUAACAAGUCAACAUCAAUUUCUUUUGUUGUAAAAGAGUAUUCGGAAGGUGGCUUUCUUUUCGGAGAAAGUGUUUAUAGCCCUAUACUUCUACAAUCGGAGAGAUUGAGGUCUGCAGCGUAGAUCCUUCGGGGUUAGAUACACUUGUGCUAAGUUGUAGCUUUUCAUAGACAACUCGUUGACUAUGUUUAGUCAUGCGGCUUACUCGCUUGUGCUAUUUUACCUACGCUUAGGAUGUUGACUGAUAUGUAGUCGUA
rnacentral:rRNA from 1 species